UCUGGGCUUGGUGGCCCACACCUGUAAUUACAGCUACGGGAGAAGUUGAGGCAGGAGGAGCACUUGAGUCUAGGAGUUGGAGGCCAGCCUGGGAAACACAGUAAGACCCUCUCUCUA
rnacentral:sRNA from 1 species